AGAGUUUGAUUAUGGCUCAGGAUGAACGCUGGCGGCGUGCCUAAUACAUGCAAGUCGAACGCAUUACUUCGGUAGUGAGUGGCGAACGGGUGAGUAACACGUAGGUAACUUACCUCUAAGACGAGGAUAACGACUGGAAACGGUCGCUAAAACUGGAUAGGAUCAUUUGAGGCAUCUCGAAUGAUUUAAAGGGGCUUUCAAGCCACACUUAGAGAAAGGCCUGCGGCGCAUUAGCUAGUUGGUGGGGUAGAGGCCUACCAAGGCGAUGAUGCGUAGCCGGACUGAGAGGUCGAACGGCCACAUUGGGACUGAGACACGGCCCAAACUCCUACGGGAGGCAGCAGUAGGGAAUAUUGCACAAUGGGGGAAACCCUGAUGCAGCCAACGCCGCGUGAGUGAUGACGGCCUUCGGGUUGUAAAGCUCUGUCUUCAGGGACGAUAAUGACGGUACCUGAGGAGGAAGCCACAGCUAACUACGUGCCAGCCGCAGC
rnacentral:rRNA from 1 species